rnacentral:rRNA from 1 species
GACCAGACUCCUACGGGAGGCAGCAGUGGGGGAUAUUGCACAAUGGGGGAAACCCUGAUGCAGCGACGCCGCGUGUGGGAAGACGGUCCUCUGGAUUGUAAACCACUGUCCCCAGGGACGAAGAUGACGGUACCUGGGGAGGAAGCUCCGGCUAACUACGUGCCAGCAGCCGCGGUAAUACGUAGGGGGCAAGCGUUAUCCGGAUUUACUGGGUGUAAAGGGAGCGUAGACGGCAUGGCAAGUCAGAUGUGAAAGCCCGGGGCUCAACCCCGGGACUGCAUUUGAAACUGUCAGGCUGGAGUGCAGGAGGGGCAGGCGGAAUUCCUGGUGUAGCGGUGAAAUGCGUAGAUAUCAGGAGGAACACCGGUGGCGAAGGCGGCCUGCUGGACUGCGACUGACGUUGAGGCCCGAAAGCGUGGGGAGCAAACAGGAUUAGAUACCCUGGUA